rnacentral:rRNA from 1 species
AGUGAACGCUGGCGGUAGGCCUAACACAUGCAAGUCGAACGGCAGCACAGUAAGAGCUUGCUCUUACGGGUGGCGAGUGGCGGACGGGUGAGGAAUACAUCGGAAUCUACUUUUUCGUGGGGGAUAACGUAGGGAAACUUACGCUAAUACCGCGUACGACCUACGGGUGAAAGCAGGGGAUCUUCGGACCUUGCGCGAUUGAAUGAGCCGAUGUCGGAUUAGCUAGUUGGCGGGGUAAAGGCCCACCAAGGCGACGAUCCGUAGCUGGUCUGAGAGGAUGAUCAGCCACACUGGAACUGAGACACGGUCCAGACUCCUACGGGAGGCAGCAGUGGGGAAUAUUGGACAAUGGGCGCAAGCCUGAUCCAGCCAUACCGCGUGGGUGAAGAACGCCUUCGGGUUGUAAAGCCCUUUUGUUGGGAAAGAAAAGCAGCAGGUUAAUACCCCGCUGUUCUGACGGUACCCAAAGAAUAAGCACCGGCUAACUUCGUG